GGCGAACGCUGGCGGCAGGCCUAACACAUGCAAGUCGAGCGCCCAGCAAUGGGAGCGGCAGACGGGAGAGUAACACGUGGGAACGUACCCUUCAGUUCGGAACAACCCAGGGAAACUUGGGCUAAUACCGAAUACGUCCGUAAGGAGAAAGAUUUAUCGCUGAAGGAUCGGCCCGCGUCUGAUUAGCUAGUUGGUGAGGUAACGGCUCACCAAGGCGACGAUCAGUAGCUGGUCUGAGAGGAUGAUCAGCCUCACUGGGACUGAGACACGGCCCAGACUCCUACGGGAGGCAGCAGUGGGGAAUAUUGGACAAUGGGCGCAAGCCUGAUCCAGCCAUGCCGCGUGGAUGAUGAAGGCCCUAGGGUUGUAAAGUCCUUUCGACGGGGAAGAUAAUGACGGUACCCGUAGAAGAAGCCCCGGCUAACUUCGUGCCAGCCGCCGCCGUAA
rnacentral:rRNA from 1 species